UCGCUAGUAAUCGCGGAUCAGAAUGCCGCGGUGAAUACGUUCCCGGUCUUGUACACACCGCCCGUCACACCAUGGGAGUCGGAAAUGCCCGAAGUCUGUGACCCAACCUUAGGGAGGGAGCAGCCGAAGGCAGGUCGGAUGACUGGGUGAAGUCGUAACAAGGUACC
rnacentral:rRNA from 1 species